rnacentral:rRNA from 1 species
UGGCGGAAUGCUUUACACAUGCAAGUCGAACGGCAGCACGGACUUCGGUCUGGUGGCGAGUGGCGAACGGGUGAGUAACAUAUCGGAACGUAUCCAAUAAUGGGGGAUAACUAAUCGAAAGGUUGGCUAAUACCGCAUACGCCCUACGGGGGAAAGCUAGGGAUCUUCGGACCUGGCGUUAAUGGAGCGGCCGAUAUCUGAUUAGCUAGUUGGUGGGGUAAAGGCCCACCAAGGCGACGAUCAGUAGCUGGUCUGAGAGGACGACCAGCCACACUGGAACUGAGACACGGUCCAGACUCCUACGGGAGGCAGCAGUGGGGAAUUUUGGACAAUGGGCGCAAGCCUGAUCCAGCCAUUCCGCGUGAGUGAAGAAGGCCUUCGGGUUGUAAAGCUCUUUCGCAAGGGAAGAAAACUUAUCCUCUAACAUAGGAUGAGGUUGACGGUACCUUGAUAAGAAGCACCGGCUAACUACGUGCCAGCAGCCGCGGUAAUACGUAGGGUGCGAGCGUUAAUCGGAAUUACUGGGCGUAAAGCGUGCGCAGGCUGUUUUGUAAGUCAGAUGUGAAAUCCCUGAGCUCAACUUAGGAACUGCGUUUGAAACUACAAGACUAGAAUAUGUCAGAGGGGGGUAGAAUUCCACGUGUAGCAGUGAAAUGCGUAGAGAUGUGGAGGAAUACCAAUGGCGAAGGCAGCCCCCUGGGAUAAUAUUGACGCUCAUGCACGAAAGCGUGGGGAGCAAACAGGAUUAGAUACCCUGGUAGUCCACGCCCUAAACGAUGUCUACUAGUUGUUGGUGGAGUAAAAUCCAUGAGUAACGCAGCUAACGCGUGAAGUAGACCGCCUGGGGAGUACGGUCGCAAGAUUA